CCUCCCUGGCCACUGCAUCACUGCUGGGCUCCCACAGCUCACAUUGCCUCAGAAGUGAUGCAGGAGAGGAAGGGAAGACCAGGACACAGUGGUAUAUGCCUGUGGUGCCCGGUACUUGGAUGGCUGAGAGUUCUGGAAACUUUGGAAGGUGGAGCUUAGCUUAGGGAAGCAAGUCACUGAGAAGAAGGGGCGGGUCCUCGGGGUGUGCUAUCCUUGCCCACUUCCUGUCUCCCUGUGAUUCCUGGUCCUCUCCACCAUGUGAACAGGCCCUACCACAUGCUCUCAUUGUAAAUGGAGCUCUCUGCCAUGACUUCCCCGCCAUCUUGAACUAAAUCCUCUGAAACCAUGAAACCAAAAAAAGUAUUUCCUUAA